GAGGUGAGCUUGUCUGGUUGUUCUGUGCUCAUUGUAAAGCUCCCAAUACAUAAAGUAAAAGAUGUCCUACUGCUGGCAAUAUUCCUCAUUUGUUAUUAGUUUCCUCGUCAUCAAUAUUCUGUGUCAGCAAUUGUUUCUUACAUCACCUAUAUACGGUGCACCAGUUAAAAUUCUUUGCCUGAAACAAUUACAUGAUUUGAUUGAUGACACUUUGGAAAUUGGCAGGUAUCUGACAGUUGUUGACCGGCACUGGAACCAUUGACUUCACUUGUUUGGCUCAUCCUCUCCACCUUCUCUUCUCUAUUAGCGUGGGCUAAGAUUCCUGCAUAACUGCAUAACCAAUGGUUUGAUCAAUCAUCAACCACAUACUUCCUGACAACAGUGUGGAUUGGGUGGCUGUACUCGAGUUGAGUUGUUCGAUGGACGCUGCUGAAUAAAGAAAAGGAUGUGGAAGAGCCUACCUUUGUGAAAUAUCAUUAUUAUUAUACACAAGCUAUCAUCCAUCAGGUAACGGCUAUCUUUAUGAAUCUAUCUUUUUUAUACGAUUAAAGAACCAAAUUAUCAAAGCUAGAUAUCACAGAUCCAAAUAAAAAAAUUAAAACACGCAGAGAUCUAAGAAAUAAGAAGAAUCCGUUCUUCAGAAAGCAGGAGGGGCGCCGCCGGGGAAGAAGAGCCGCCCACCGGGGAAGCCGCCUCCCCGUGGCGUGUCGUCGUGCAAGGCGUUGCUGAUCUUGUGGAAACCGUGGAAGAAGACGUCGAAGCCGAAGACGAGCCCGACGAGGAGGAUCACCACCAGCAGCAUGAAGCACAGGCAGCAGCACCGGCUCGGGCACCACAUAAUGAUCGAUCUCUUCUCUCCUUUGCCAAUCUUUAUCAAACAGGCAACAGAAAGCCAACACGAAAGAGAAAGGUUCUCUCUUUCGCAGGAUGAGGGGUUUU
rnacentral:lncRNA from 1 species